ensembl:misc_RNA 7SK 7SK RNA
GGAUGUGAGGGUGAUCUGGCUGCGACAUCUGUCACCCCAUUGAUCGCCAGGGUUGAUUCGGCUGAUCUAGCUGACUAGGCAGGCGUCCCCUUCCUCCCUCACCGCUCCACGAGCAUCUCUCCCGAAGCUGCAGGCUCAGAAGAAGAGGACGACCAUCCCCGAUAGAGAAGGACUCUUCUUCAGUCAAGGGUAUAUGAGUAGCUGCGCUCCCCUGCUAGAACCUCCAAACAAGCUCUCAUAUAUGUAUAUUUGAAAUUGGAAGGGACCAAGAACAGAUAAGACAAAUUUCAAG